GUGGCUCGUCCCGUUUCUCUCUGGCUCUCAGGAAUCCUCUCCUCUCGACACACGAGUUCAAAGCCGCCUGUCUGUCCUGCUUCGUCAAGACAGGCCCCAAGGCGAUGGAUUUUACCCACAAUGCCGAGCCCCACCAGUGCAGGAGGGACGUGCUGCUGUGCCGGACCCGGGGAGCGCGGGACCAGAGCUGGAAGCGCGUUCGGGUCAGACCGCAGAGAAACAACUUCCUGGGAGCGUUCGUGCUGUGCAAGGAGGUGCUGAAGAAGCAGCAGUGUCAGUAUGGGGAGGGCUGCACCUUCGCAUACUGCCAGGAGGAGAUUGAUGUCUGGAG